CCUACGGGGCGCAGCAGUGGGGGAUAUUGCACAAUGGGGGGAACCCUGAUGCAGCGACGCCGCGUGGGUGAAGAAGCGCCUCGGCGCGUAAAGCCCUUUCAGCAGGGAAGAAAAUGACGGUACCUGAAGAAGAAGCCCCGGCUAACUACGGGCCAGCCGCCGCGGUAAUACGUAGGGGGCACGCGUUAUCCGGAUUUACUGGGUGUGAAGGGGGCGCAGACGGCGAUGCAAGCCAGGAGUGAAAGCCCGGGGCCCAACCCCGGGACUGCGCUUGGAACUGCGUGGCUGGAGUGCAGGAGGGGCAGGCGGAAUUCCUGGGGUAGAGGUGAAAGGCGUAGAUAUCAGGAGGAACACCGGGGGCGAAGGCGGCCUGCUGGACUGCAACUGACGUUGAGGCCCGAAAGCGUGGGGAGCAAACAGGAUUAGAUACCCGGGUAGUC
rnacentral:rRNA from 1 species